GUAAAAUGCUUCUUAUCAACAACUGAUAUAUUUUUUGCUCAUGUUAAAUAAAUGAAAGGUCUUAAAUAUGAUACAUAUGUAUCUAUGUAUAUCUCAUAAACAAUGUAGACAUUUUUAAUUGCUAUGAGAAUUACCUCUUUUUAUUUUUAAAGACAGAAGAAAUGCAGUCAUAAAGCAAAACACAUUCAAGGAAAAACGAGUUUUAAG